rnacentral:rRNA from 1 species
UUAGAGUUUGAUCAUGGCUCAGAUUGAACGCUGGCGGCAGGCCUAACACAUGCAAGUCGAGCGGUAGCACAGAGAGCUUGCUCUCGGGUGACGAGCGGCGGACGGGUGAGUAAUGUCUGGGAAACUGCCUGAUGGAGGGGGAUAACUACUGGAAACGGUAGCUAAUACCGCAUAAYGUCGCAAGACCAAAGUGGGGGACCUUCGGGCCUCAUGCCAUCAGAUGUGCCCAGAUGGGAUUAGCUAGUAGGUGGGGUAACGGCUCACCUAGGCGACGAUCCCUAGCUGGUCUGAGAGGAUGACCAGCCACACUGGAACUGAGACACGGUCCAGWCUCCUACGGGAGGCAGCAGUGGGGAAUAUUGCACAAUGGGCGCAAGCCUGAUGCAGCCAUGCCGCGUGUGUGAAGAAGGCCUUCGGGUUGUAAAGCACUUUCAGCGGGGAGGAAGGCGRURAGGUUAAUARCCUYRUCGAUUGACGUUACCCGCAGAAGAAGCACCGGCUAACUCCGUGCCAGCAGCCGCGGUAAUACGGAGGGUGCAAGCGUUAAUCGGAAUUACUGGGCGUAAAGCGCACGCAGGCGGUYUGUCAAGUCGGAUGUGAAAUCCCCGGGCUCAACCUGGGAACUGCAUUCGAAACUGGCAGGCUAGAGUCUUGUAGAGGGGGGUAGAAUUCCAGGUGUAGCGGUGAAAUGCGUAGAGAUCUGGAGGAAUACCGGUGGCGAAGGCGGCCCCCUGGACAAAGACUGMCGCUCAGGUGCGAAAGCGUGGGGAGCAAMCAGGAUUAGAUACCCUGGUAGUCCACGCCGUAAACGAUGUCGAUUUGGAGGUUGUGCCCUUGAGGCGUGGCUUCCGGAGCUAACGCGUUAAAUCGACCCGCCCG